rnacentral:rRNA from 1 species
AACGAACGCUGGCGGCAUGCCUAACACAUGCAAGUCGAACGAGAUCUUCGGGUCUAGUGGCGCACGGGUGCGUAACGCGUGGGAAUCUGCCCUUUGGUUCGGAAUAACAGUUGGAAACGACUGCUAAUACCGGAUGAUGACGAAAGUCCAAAGAUUUAUCGCCAGAGGAUGAGCCCGCGUAGGAUUAGCUAGUUGGUGUGGUAAAGGCGCACCAAGGCGACGAUCCUUAGCUGGUCUGAGAGGAUGAUCAGCCACACUGGGACUGAGACACGGCCCAGACUCCUACGGGAGGCAGCAGUGGGGAAUAUUGGACAAUGGGCGCAAGCCUGAUCCAGCCAUGCCGCGUGAGUGAUGAAGGCCCUAGGGUUGUAAAGCUCUUUCGGCGGGGACGAUAAUGACGGUACCCGCAGAAGAAGCCCCGGCUAACUUCGUGCCAGCCGCCGCCGUAA